UACGUAGGGGGGCAAGCGUUGUCCGGAUUUAUUGGGCGUAAAGAGCGUGUAGGCGGCCGUACAGGUCAGCUGUGAAAACUCGAGGCUCAACCUCGAGACGUCGGUUGAAACCGUACGGCUAGAGUCCGGAAGAGGAGAGUGGAAUUCCCGGGUGUAGCGGUGAAAUGCGCAGAUAUCGGGGAAGAACACCCGUGGCGAAGGCGGCUCUC
rnacentral:rRNA from 1 species